rnacentral:rRNA from 1 species
CAGUAGCCACGGGAACACAGAGGGUGCGAGCGUUAAUCGGAUUUACUGGGCGUAAAGCGUGCGUAGGCGGCUUCUUAAGUCGGAUGUGAAAUCCCUGAGCUUAACUUAGGAAUUGCAUUCGAUACUGGGAAGCUAGAGUAUGGGAGAGGAUGGUAGAAUUCCAGGUGUAGCGGUGAAAUGCGUAGAGAUCUGGAGGAAUACCGAUGGCGAAGGCAGCCAUCUGGCCUAAUACUGACGCUGAGGUACGAAAGCAUGGGGAGCAAACAGGAUUAGAGACCCCGGUAGUCCCUGUCUCUUAUAC